rnacentral:rRNA from 1 species
GACGAACGCUGGCGGCAUGCCUAAUACAUGCAAGUUGAACGAUGAUAUUCUCUGCUUGCAGAGAAUUGAAGAGUAGCGAACGGGUGAGUAACACGUGGGGAACCUGCCCAUGAGAGGGGGAUAACAUUCGGAAACGGAUGCUAAUACCGCAUAAUGCUUUGGACCGCCUGGUCCAGAGACGAAAGACGGCUUUUGCUGUCACUCAUGGAUGGCCCCGCGCCGUAUUAGCUAGUUGGUGAGGUAAUGGCUCUCCAAAGCUGUGAUACGUAGCCGACCUGAGAGGGUGAUCGGCCACACUGGGACUGAGACACGGCCCAGACUCCUACGGGAGGCAGCAGUAGGGAAUCUUCCACAAUGGGCGAAAGCCUGAUGGAGCAAUGCCGCGUGAAUGAAGAAGGUCUUCGGAUCGUAAAGUUCUGUUAUUAGAGAAGAACAAGUCAAGGAGUAACUGUCUUGACUUUGACGGUACCUAACCAGAAAGUCACGGCUAACUACGUG